UGGGGAAUAUUGCACAAUGGGCGCAAGCCUGAUGCAGCCAUGCCGCGUGUGUGAAGAAGGCCUUCGGGUUGUAAAGCACUUUCAGCGGGGAGGAAGGCGGUGAGGUUAAUAACCUCAUCGAUUGACGUUACCCGCAGAAGAAGCACCGGCUAACUCCGUGCCAGCAGCCGCGGUAAUACGGAGGGUGCAAGCGUUAAUCGGAAUUACUGGGCGUAAAGCGCACGCAGGCGGUCUGUCAAGUCGGAUGUGAAAUCCCCGGGCUCAACCUGGGAACUGCAUUCGAAACUGGCAGGCUAGAGUCUUGUAGAGGGGGGUAGAAUUCCAGGUGUAGCGGUGAAAUGCGUAGAGAUCUAGAGGAAUACCGGUGGCGAAGGCGGCCCCCUGGAAAAAGACUGACGCUCAGGUGCGAAAGCGUGGGGAGCAAACAGG
rnacentral:rRNA from 1 species